rnacentral:snRNA from 1 species
GUGCUUGUUCAGCAACACAUUCACUAAAACUUGGAAAAAUAUGGAGUAGAUUAGCAUGGCCUCUGAUCAAGGAUGACACACAAAUUUCUAAAGUACUUAAAAAAUAAAUUUUC